rnacentral:rRNA from 1 species
UACGUAGGGGCAAGCGUUGUCCGGAAUCAUUGGGCGUAAAGAGCGUGUAGGCGGCUCGGUAAGUCCGCUCUGAAAGCCCGGGGCUCAACCCCGGGAGGCGGGCGGAUACUGUCGGGCUAGAGUCCGGAAGAGGCGAGUGGAAUUCCUGGUGUAGCGGUGAAAUGCGCAGAUAUCAGGAGGAACACCAAUGGCGAAGGCAGCUCGCUGGGACGGUACUGACGCUGAGACGCGAAAGCGUGGGGAGCAAACAGG